rnacentral:rRNA from 1 species
UGAGGAAUAUUGGUCAAUGGGCGGGGAGCCUGAACCAGCCAAGCCGCGUGAGGGAAGAAGGUACAGCGUAUCGUAAACCUCUUUUUGUCAGGGAACAAAGGCGGGGACUAGUCCCCGGAUGAGGGUACCUGAAGAAAAAGCAUCGGCUAACUCCGUGCC